UGAUAAGGUGGCUGAGAGUAGGUGGUAGAUUGUAAAUCUAUUAACAGGGGAUAACCCUUCUUAUCAU
rnacentral:tRNA from 1 species